UGGGGAAUAUUGCACAAUGGGCGCAAGCCUGAUGCAGCCAUGCCGCGUGUGUGAAGAAGGCGUUCGGGUUGUAAAGCACUUUCAGCGGGGAGGAAGGCGAUAAGGUUAAUAACCUUGUCGAUUGACGUUACCCGCAGAAGAAGCACCGGCUAACUCCGUGCCAGCAGCCGCGGUAAUACGGAGGGUGCAAGCGUUAAUCGGAAUUACUGGGCGUAAAGCGCACGCAGGCGGUCUGUCAAGUCGGAUGUGAAAUCCCCGGGCUUAACCUGGGAACUGCAUUCGAAACUGGCAGGCUAGAGUCUUGUAGAGGGGGGUAGAAUUCCAGGUGUAGCGGUGAAAUGCGUAGAGAUCUGGAGGAAUACCGGUGGCGAAGGCGGCCCCCUGGACAAAGACUGACGCUCAGGUGCGAAAGCGUGGGGAGCAAACAGG
rnacentral:rRNA from 1 species